rnacentral:lncRNA from 1 species
AGUGCCGGGAGAUGCUGCUGCACACGGCCGUGUCCGUCCUCCAGGAGCUGAUUGAGAGGGGAGAGGAGGAAGACGCCUGUAUCGAGCUGCUUAGCAACAUCCUGGAGGUGCUGUACAAGGCCCAGAAGAGAGCAGAGGAGCAGAGCAGGCAGCACAGUGGAGGCAAGGGACGGCACAAGGAGCACGGUGACUCAGAGCUGGUGAAGGUGAAGAAGCACAUUCAGCUGAUUCUGGACCGGCUGCUGCACACGGUCAAUCGGAGAGUGAUCGUCCUGGACCGGGAGAACAACCUCAGAGUGAGUACCACCACGUCCUCCGUGCUGCGCCGGGCGUCGGGACUGCUCUGCUACCCACGGGUGGCUCUUACCGGAGGCAGGAGAUGUGAAAGGUUGUGCUGAUUUAAGUGUCUGGGAAGAGGUGACUAAUGUUGCUCCUCAGCUGGUAUUCCGGUCUCCAGCAGCAGCUGGUGUGGGAUGAUUUCUAGAUGUUUAACAUAGCAGGAUGCACAAGAAAGCCAGACAAGGGAGGGUGGGAACAUGCCAGAAGCAGGUUCUGCAAUGGGACGGUGCCUCGGGAUGAGCAGGCAGGCUGUGUGUGAUGCAGAAAGCACAUUUUGGAAGUAGGAGAUUGGACCUGAUGAACCUUCAUAAUUUUACAUGCUAAGAGCACGCGGGAGAAGCGCGCUGGGCACACUGGGACGUCCGUCUCUCGUCGAAGGGUUGGGGGGGUCAAAGCAGCGCUCGGCUGGAGCAUCACACCGACCUGCUGGGCUAGUGGCGAUCAUUUAAUCACGAAGGGUUUUGGAGGAAGUGGAGCCGCGCCUGCUCGGGCUCACACGUGCCCUGAUGCGCGUGACGGCGGUGGGGAACGGGCCGGGGAAGCCGCUCCGGGGCCACG